rnacentral:misc_RNA from 2 species
AAAGAAAUAGUAGCAGAUAUGAAACGUAGCAAAUAGAAAGCUAAUGGGUGAUGGGAAUUAGCACGCCAUAUCUUGUGAAUUGGACUUUGGAAAACAAUUGAAUGAGUUUUGAAAGUGAACAUGAAUUAUGUUAACUAAGGUGGCACCACGGUAACGCGUCCUUACAGGUAUAUGCGUUAUGUGGUGUCUUUUUAU